rnacentral:misc_RNA from 1 species
CCAGUUCAUCCAGCAGCGGAUGACCGACAUAGGUGCACGGCGGGCCGCUCAACUUGCGAUGAACCUCGGGCUCGAAUGGCAGAACGGCCAGCAGCCGGUCGACAUACGCACGCAUUUUCCGCGCCCGUCCCGNNNCGCCAGACCCACACCGUGGGCGAGACGUAGUCGACAAUCGGGAUCGACGGAUCGCGCGCGCGGACACGCCGCGCCACCCGAUGCGUGAAAUCCGGGCUGUCGAUGAUGAC